GUCUGCAGGGGCGCUGGCCAGGUGCUGAUGUGAACCCCAACAGAUGGGGACCCGCAGUGGGUGGCACCGUCCUGCUGUGUGGGAGCACCACGGCUGCUGAUCCCUGCCCAGCCUCAGCCUGUCCACAAAGAACAUCAGCUGGUCCCGGCUGCCAUCAGCCAUCGGCCAGUCCCAGCCAUCCUCAGCAGCCUCCAGCCCCCUGCUCUGUGCCCACUCCUCAGUGAGCCCACAGGGAUCCCCUGCCAGCCCCGCUCCGCGGUGCUCCCGGCAAUCUGGGACGUGCCAGCUGCACCCUGAGGCUGGGAGCAGUCAGCUCCCUGUAGAUGUGAUGGCUGAGCAGGGUGGAAAAUGGCUUGGGGACAGCACUGCUGAUGCUGGGGAGCUGCUCUGCAGCCUGUUGCAAAGCUGUGCCCACCUCUGCACACGGCUGUGUCCCUGUAUUCCUACUGGUUGCUCCAGAUCUAGAAGCUCAAGACUAAUCCAGGCUGCGUGGAAAACAAGGGGGUGUACUUCAGAGGAUUUGCUGGAGUUGGGCUAUUGUUGGUCUCAAAACACAGCCUCAAUGGGCCUAGAUGACCUCAUCUUUUCCUGCCUGCUAAUCCACCACCUCCAUUUUCACCGUGUCUCAGAAAAGUUUAUUUAAGGAGACUUGCAGUGGAAUAAUAGCUGACGCUUUGCAUAAGUCAUAAAGUCAAAGUUAAACAAGUACAUCUGUGUUGCACAUUGUGUACUGAACACUGAAGGAAAAAACUUCAAAAUUUGUCAUUGGACUAGAUUUUUAUAAUAAUGCUUUAAUUUUACAGAGUGACAUUAAAACAUAAAGCAGCCUCA